AAUGUAGGCGGUUUUGCAAGUCAGAGGUGAAGUCCCUCAGCUUAACUGAGGAAGUGCCUUUGAAACUGCAUAACUAGAGGACAGGAGAGGAAAGUGGAAUUCCCGGUGUAGCGGUGGAAUGCGUAGAUAUCGGGAGGAACACCAGAGGCGAAGGCGGCUUUCUGGACUGAUCCUGACGCUGAGAUUCGAAAGCUAGGGGAGCAAACA
rnacentral:rRNA from 1 species